UCGUUAGUAAGGUUAAUCCUUACCUAUUCCUCCUUUUGGAGAACAGAGGUAAAAUGAUGAUUGGAGCUCACGUGAUACGUGAUUAGCGUCUCUGUGUGAGCAGGACUUGCAACAUCCUGUUUGCGUCUAUCUGAU
rnacentral:snoRNA from 15 species